rnacentral:rRNA from 1 species
UACGGGGGGAGCAAGCGUUGUUCGGAUUUACUGGGCGUAAAGGGCGCGUAGGCGGCCACCGCAAGUCGAUUGUGAAAUCUCCGGGCUUAACUCGGAAAGGUCAACCGAUACUGCGGGGCUAGAGUGCAGAAGGGGCAACUGGAAUUCUCGGUGUAGCGGUGAAAUGCGCAGAUAUCAGGAGGAACACCGGUGGCGAAGGCGGAUCUCUGGGCCUGUCCUGACGCUCAGGCGCGAAAGCUAGGGGAGCAAACAGG